UGUACCUUCACAGCAAUGGGCAAGUGUGUCUGGCUAUAAACCAGAAGGUUAGUGGUUCAAGCCCACCCAGGGACAG
rnacentral:tRNA from 1 species